UACGAAGGGGGCUAGCGUUGUUCGGAAUCACUGGGCGUAAAGCGCACGUAGGCGGCUCGGUAAGUCGGGGGUGAAAGCCCGGAGCUCAACUCCGGAACUGCCUUCGAGACUGCAGAGCUGGAGGAUGGGAGAGGUGAGUGGAAUUCCGAGUGUAGAGGUGAAAUUCGUAGAUAUUCGGAAGAACACCAGUGGCGAAGGCGGCUCACUGGCGCAUUUCUGACGCUGAGGUGCGAAAGCGUGGGGAGCAAACAGG
rnacentral:rRNA from 1 species